GACGAACGCUGGCGGCGUGCCUAAUACAUGCAAGUGGGACGCAAGGGAACACACUGUGCUUGCACACCGUGUUUUCUUGAGUCGCGAACGGGUGAGUAACGCGUAGGUAACCUGCCUAUUAGCGGGGGAUAACUAUUGGAAACGAUAGCUAAUACCGCAUAAUAUUAAUUAUUGCAUGAUAAUUGAUUGAAAGAUGCAAGCGCAUCACUAGUAGAUGGACCUGCGUUGUAUUAGCUAGUUGGUAAGGUAAGAGCUUACCAAGGCGACGAUACAUAGCCGACCUGAGAGGGUGAUCGGCCACACUGGGACUGAGACACGGCCCAGACUCCUACGGGAGGCAGCAGUAGGGAAUCUUCGGCAAUGGACGAAAGUCUGACCGAGCAACGCCGCGUGAGUGAAGAAGGUUUUCGGAUCGUAAAGCUCUGUUGUAAGUCAAGAACGUGUGUGAGAGUGGAAAGUUCACACAGUGACGGUAGCUUACCAGAAAGGGACGGCUAACUAC
rnacentral:rRNA from 1 species